CCUACGGGAGGCAGCAGUGAGGAAUCUUGGUCAAUGGACGAGAGUCUGAACCAGCCAAGUAGCGUGAAGGAUGACUGCCCUAUGGGCUGUAAACUUCUUUUAUAUGGGAAUAAAAUGUCUCACGUGUGGGAUUUUGUAUGUACCAUAUGAAUAAGGAUCGUCUAACUCCGUGCCAGCAGCCGCGGUAAUACGGAGGAUCCGAGCGUGAUCCGGAUUUAUUGGGUUUAAAGGGAGCGUAGGUGGAGUAUUAAGUAAGUUGUGAAGGUUUGCGGCUCAACCGUAAAAUUGCAGUUGAAACUGGCAGUCUUGAGUACAGAAGAGGAGAGCGGAAUUCGUGGUGUAGCGGUGAAAUGCUUAGAUAUCACGAAGAACUCCGAUUGCGAAGGCAGUUCACUGGACUGCAACUGACGCUGAGGCUCGAAAGUGUGGGUAUCAAACAGGAUUAGAUACCCCAGUAGUC
rnacentral:rRNA from 1 species